rnacentral:tRNA from 1 species
UCCCUGGCGGUCCAGUGGUUAGGACAUAGUGCUUUCACUGUUGGGGACUGGGUUCGAUUCCUGGUCAGGGAA